GAGACAUUAACGAAGCCAUUUAUUGGCAUUAAUUCUUUCAUUCUGUGAAUUUAUCUUUGCUUUGGGUGUCUGUCUUGUAUAGGUGCCCAAAAUUUUUAACACUAAACAUUUUAUUAAUUGUCUGACUGAUUAUAAAAUAAAUUAAUCAAAACUUUCAACAACGGAUCUCUUGGUUCUCGCAUCGAUGAAGAACGCAGCAAAACGCGAUAUGUAAUGUGAAUUGCAGAAUUUUGUGAAUCAUCGAAUUUUUGAACGCACAUUGCGCCCUUUGGUAUUCCGAAGGGCAUACCUGUUUGAGCGUCAUUUCUUCUUCAUUUUAAAUGGUUUUGUGUGUAUUUUUUACUUGUAAAAAGGUAAAAUCACACUAAAUGAAAUGGCAUGAUUGUUAUCUUGUGAAAGCGUUUUAGGUCUACCAACUACGUAAAUAACAGAUGACUAUGGUCAGGCCUAUAUAACAUUCUAUUCAAAAUUUGACCUCAAAUCAGGCAGGAAUACCCGCUGAACUUAA
rnacentral:rRNA from 1 species